CAUAUGAUACCGUUGACUCCUGGACCUUGGUCUCGUACCUCGAGUUCUGGUGAGCAUGGGUCAUUUUUCUGGAAAGCAUUUCUGUCCUUCACUGGGUGGUUAUGUGAUCCAGAUCAUUUACUGUGAGAAAAUCAGAGUGUUCAAAGCAGGCUUUAUGCUUGUAUGGUUCAGCAUGGAAUAAUAAGAUAAGACUUCGGUUUUAUUUUGUUGGCUAUGAAACCAAAGUAAUGAUUAAUAGGGAUAGUUGGGGGUGCUAGUAUUUAGUGGUUAGCGGUGAAAUGCGAGGACCCACUAAAGACUAACUUAUGCGAAAGCAUU
rnacentral:rRNA from 1 species